rnacentral:misc_RNA from 1 species
GACCGCGCGACGGAGGAGGAGACGGCGGCGACGGGGCGGCGGAUACUGGUGGCCGUGGACGAGGGCGACGAGAGCGUCCACGCGCUCAAGUGGUGCCUCGCCAGCUUCGCCAAGCGCGGCGGCGGCGGGGGCGCGGCGCCGCCGGACACCAUCAUCCUGCUCUACGUCCGGCCGCCGCCGCCCACCUACUCCGUGCUCGACGCCUCCGG